rnacentral:rRNA from 1 species
UUGCUAUCGGAGUCCGAUUUAGCCAUGCUAGUCGUACGAGUUCAUACUCGUGGCGGAAAGCUCAGUAACACGUGGCCAAACUACCCUGUGGACGAGAAUAACCUCGGGAAACUGAGGCUAAUUCCCGAUACAGCUCGCAUGCUGGAGUGCAGCGAGCUGGAAACGCUCCGGCGCCACAGGAUGUGGCUGCGGCCGAUUAGGUAGACGGUGGGGUAACGGCCCACCGUGCCGAUAAUCGGUACGGGUUGUGAGAGCAAGAGCCCGGAGACGGUAUCUGAGACAAGAUACCGGGCCCUACGGGAGGCAGCAGGCGCGAAACCUUUACACUGCACGCACGUGCGAUAAGGGGACUCCGAGUGCGAGGGCAUAUCGUCCUCGCUUUCGUGUACCGUAGGGUGGUACACCAACAAGGGCUGGGCAAGACCGGUGCCAGCCGCCGCGGUAAUACCGGCAGCCCGAGUGAUGGCCGAUCUUAUUGGGCCUAAAGCGUCCGUAGCUGGCUGCGCAAGUCCGUC